GAUGAAGAACGUAGCAAAAUGCGAUAAGUAAUGUGAAUUGCAGAAUUCAGUGAAUCAUCGAAUCUUUGAACGCACAUUGCGCCCGCUGGUAUUCCGGCGGGCAUGCCUGUUCGAGCGUCAUUUCAACCCUCAAGCCCCCGGGUUUGGUGUUGGGGAUCGGCUCUGCCCUUCUGGGCGGUGCCGCCCCCGAAAUACAUUGGCGGUCUCGCUGCAGCCUCCAUUGCGUAGUAGCUAACACCUCGCAACUGGAACGCGGCGCGGCCAUGCCGUAAAACCCCAACUUCUGAAUGUUGACCUCGGAUCAGGUAGGAUUACCCGCUGAACUUAAGCAUAUCAAUAAGCGGAGGA
rnacentral:misc_RNA from 1 species